rnacentral:rRNA from 1 species
UACGUAGGGUGCAAGCGUUAAUCGGAAUUACUGGGCGUAAAGCGUGCGCAGGCGGUUGUGCAAGACCGAUGUGAAAUCCCCGGGCUUAACCUGGGAAUGGCAUUGGUGACUGCACGGCUAGAGUGUGUCAGAGGGGGGGUAGAAUUCCUACGUGUAGCAGUGAAAUGCGUAGAGAUCCGGAGGAACCCCAGAGGCGAAGGCGGCCCCCUGGCUCGUAGCCUGACGCUCAGCCACGAAAGACAUGGGAAGCGAACGGG